rnacentral:tRNA from 1 species
GAGGGUACAGCUCAAAUGGUAGAGCGCAUGCUUAGCAUGCUUGAGGUCCUGGGCUCAAUCCCCAGUACCUCCA